UUGAGCCGUAUGAGGGGAAACUCUCACGUACGGUUCUUAGGGGGGGAUGGGCCAGCAAU
rnacentral:ncRNA from 1 species